UUUUUAAAGCACAUGGAUUUCUCCUAAGCAUGGAUUGCUUUUGGAUGUCCAUUGUGGGAUAUUACCCUUCUACUUGAAGGAUGGCUGAGGAAAUAGGGAGCCCGUGACAUCCAAAAUAGGAUAUUGCAACAAGCAACUAGCCUUGCAAGAUGAGGAAACCAGCCAGAGAGGCCACAUAGCUGUAGGAUUACAAGACUCUGGUGAAUGUCUUCUUAAAUACUUGGCCACACCAGACAUUUUAGUGACUCCAGAAUGUCCUGACUCAGGAACAAGGAAACAUUUUGGACCACAAAGCAAUUCUAUUGUAGUGAAUAUCCUCCAGUUUUGAAUCUGUUAACAUUCUGAAUUUGAUAUCUUUUCUCUAACACCUGAAGAUCUUCUCUGAUGAUUCUGGCUUCUUUCCUUGUGCCUCUGGCUUCCUGUUCUUCUCUCUUGGUUCCCUGAAUACGUGUGCUUCUGAAUACUUGCUCAUCAGUUGACCUUCAUUUUGAACCUGGAUGCAAGCAUUGUGUUCACAUGUUGUUUUCCCUUUCUCUCUGAUAUGCAGACUUCGGACCUACCCAUUGUCACUUCUAAGUUCCCCAAAGUGCAA
rnacentral:lncRNA from 1 species